ensembl:lncRNA
AUGUUUGGGCACCUAAUUCUUCCUUUUUAUUGUGUAUGGUCCAGCGCGGGAUUCCCCAGCUGGCAGCUGGCUCCAUUUGUGAAUCAAACCCUAAACAUGCACCCGUUGCAUCAAAUGCAAUUCCUGCUUUUUUUUUCAUUUUCACACACAAAGCAAAUAUCUGCAGUACCUGGACACAGGCUGAAGCACAAGAAAUGCAGAAGGAAACUGAAGGAACAGAGUGGGAAAAGGAAAGCACGCUGCACUAGAUUGCACUUUCUUUGCAGGGAAAAGCUGAACGUCAUGGCAACGUGCAGCAGCCUCUUCUGGCCAAGCCUCUCCAGCGGAGGGGCCAGGAGGGAGCGUGGGAUUCAUCUCAUCGCCAUCCACUGAUUUGAGGCCAGCGAAUGUACUGCCAGUAAACUGGUGCAAAUCAUCAGCAAUGUGGUCAUAUCCCUGGCUUUUUAAUGGGCUAAAAACAUCAUAAAAUAUAGAUAUCAUUUUCUAUUUUAAUGAUUAAAAAGGGUGUUGCCCGUUAUUCACAGCCUACGCACAAGAUGUCAUGAUUUUCAGUAUUCCUGUGCUGAUCACUCAAUCCAUUUGACACCUAACCUUCCGCUGCCUUGCUAAUUCUGUCACAAGACCUGCCUUGAUGAUUACCCAAACAUGCCUUGUUAUCUCUUGAUAGUUUUGAGGAAAAAAAACCAAAAAACAAAAAACCCACCCCCAGAUUAAUAUAUCAGAAAAGCAAUGCAAUACUAAAUGAAUGAAACAGUAAUAAUCACACAUGCAAAAGCUCUGCGCAAAGCUUUCCCUGUCCAUAUCAGCCAGCUGCUCUCCUGGCAUUAAGAGGAGUUCUAGUUCAUGAGACCAUAAGCUUUAUGUUUAGAGUGCUGGACAUUGCUCUGUGAACAGCUGCAGCAGCAAAAAUGGCAUUUUCUGAGAAAGAAGAGUUUCCACUGUGGUUUCUUCAUUGUUGGGAAAUUUCUCCUCACCAACAGAUUGAAAUCAGAGGAAGACGGCAAAUCUUACACAAGCACAUGCUUAUUAAGAGAAACCUGUAACAGGUAAAUAUGGAUGCUAGCCAGGGAACAUUACAACAUCUGAGAAGAAUUUCAGCUGAUCCUUGAUCAGAAAAAACAACAGUUCUCUGGCCAGAAACAGCCCUGGCAGUUCCAGGUAUCCAAUUAUCAAUCUCCGUUUCCAAACAAGUGAAACUGGAAACCUGCCCAUUUAUUAACUUCCCCCUCAACAAGCCAUUCACUCGCUCUUAGAAGAACUUCAGAAAAACCUCUCUCAUGUGGACCUCAUGAGGAAUGAAGUCUUAUAAAAGCCUCAUGCACUGGAAGUCUUUCACCCCUCAGAGCUCAAAUUUGAACAAUAUUCUAACUGCAAAAGUGACAUAUCUGGCUAAUGUAGAGAAGGAGGUGAAAGCUCUCUUAAAACAGUAGUAAUUCCCUUUAGGUUGUGGUUUGAUGAAUCCCAGUAGUCUGCUGAAAUCUGGAAAAAUACAUAGUGGGAUAUGAAAACGCCUGCCUGCAAGGAUGGUACCUAAAGGCUUCAGGGCUGCCCUUCCAACCUGGCCUUUCUGCAGGCACCACUCAUUUUUCCAGGGGGAAAAGCAAAUGAACUUUCUCCUUCACCUUACUCAGCAGCUGAUUUGACUUAACAUAAUUCUAAAGACAUGAAUGACACAGAAAUUACGUGAUUAAGUAGAAAGAGCUGAUAGGUUCUAGGAAGCAAGCGCUGCUCUCAGAUGCGCUUGUCUGAAUCUGGAAUAACUUUGAUGAAUUCCAGAUAACAAAUACACUAAUUAAAUAGACAUAAUUAUUUUUAAAUGUCUGCUGGAAGUCAAAAAGAGCUGUGUGAAUUUCCUAGCACAACUUCAGUUGCAUUUGCUGAGUCAAGAGGUGAAAUGAAGAAAUACCAAUUCCUGUAAAUCAUUGAUUAGAAAGUAUAUAUUUUUUUCUUUCAGAGGAUGCUUCCUAGCAAAACAUUACACUGAAAUAAAUUUCAGAUUUGAAAUCUAUUUAAAUUCA